ACUGACGACAGGGGUGGGUGAGAACCAAAUUCAGACCGGGAGAUUAAAACGUAUCCAGUCCAUCCAAAAAAAGUACGUAUACUUUUAGUACGUUUACUGAAGUAAGUACGUUUAGUAAGUAUUAGUAUAGUAAUAAGGUAUUGAGUAGUAUGUAGAGAGAUGAUUUUUUGAUUUUUACUAGGAGUUUUCUCAAUAAAUGGGAAAAACCGGCAAAAAACAUGGGGAAACCAUAAGAAAAACGGGAAAAUAGGUACAAUAUUAAACAAAUAUUAUUAAAGAAAAUAUAUAAAGCCUAUUUAAUUAUUUUACUAUUAUAUAACAUACAUAUUGUUGAAAAAGCAUCACUAUCAACUGAACUCCGCUCAGAAUCGUUUUUGCAAUGGUUUAUCGUUGCUUACAGAUAUACAUUAAAUUACCUAAAACAGUGGUUGCACACGUCCCCAUUAUCCUAAGACGUCUUUUUUUUUUCUUGUACAAUUAAUCGAUUCUGUCCUGCGAUUCGUGAUGUUAUCAUCAUUAUCAUAGUUAUUAAAAGUGCGAUUCAUCUCCUUUUUAUUUUUGUCAUCGGCCCACGUCAUAGACCCAGAGCAUUUAUUUCGUUCGCCAUUCUCUCCACAUGAGUCUAUACACUAACUAAAGUCGUUUCGAUCGUUCGACAACAUAAUAACAACAUAUAUUAUGUAUACAGGUAUACGUAUUUUUUUCCACUCGACCCUAUCAAUACCCGCCGUCGUUGAAAAUAGCCGUUUCGGUUUGUCUCUUCCGGAAUUGAUUUUUUUAAGAUCGGGUUCGAUUAUUGCAGCGGCAGCAACAGCAGCGGCGGGCGGUUAUUCUCAUCUAUAACGUCCGCGUAUCGCACGCUUCCAAUCUAUUUUCUCGUCGUCGUUGUUGUUGUCUCGAAAUCGUUUUCCAUAUUAUUAUUAUUAUUAUUAUUAUUAUAUCGAUUCCUCCGCGUGUAAAUACUCCCAAGACACAUUUCUCCGCCGCGGGUUUACCUGCAAAGCCGGUGUCACGCAUCCCACGUAAUGUUCUCAUUAUUAUAGCGUCGUCGAUUAUCUUAUUGCGUUUUCCUUUUUUUAUUUUUAUCGGUUUUUUUAAAAAAAAAUCUUCCGGACACGUUGGUUUCUCGCCAAAACGUUUAACUAUAAUAGUCGUAAAUAAACAUAUAAACAAAAAAUGUAUAACUAUUAUACACGUAAUGAUAUUCCUUUAUAGGCAGUAUUACGCGUGAUACGAGGAGCGCUCGAGUUUAAGUAAAUUUUUUAUUUUCCUCGUGUUUGGUGCAGUUGAUACAGUGCGAUGACUAUAUACAAACCGGGAAGCGUUUUGAAUAUUUGUGAUACAUAUACGUUAAUACACGUCUUCAUACAAAUGUAAGCACCGAAAAUAUGUAUAUUGAUAUCAGGGUUAACUACGGUUUUGGUAUACGGUACCUAUAUAGAAAUUAUUUCCUUAGAUAUUUUCGAUGAAAAAUUGAUUAUAUUUUCACUUUUUUCACCUCUGAUUUUAUACAGUUUGAAUUCUACUAGUUUCUGUGAAAAAGAUUAUGUAAAAAAUAAUCACUGCGAUACCCUCCGAUAAUGUAUCUACUUCUAUUUGAACUGCUAACAGGUCCGAUUUAGUUUUUAAACUUACUGUGUGUUUUUCAUACGCGAUAUACCCGAAUGAAAAAUUUGAAAAUAGUAAAACUUAAAUGAUACAUUUUCGUGACAAUCUUUUUAUUUCCUUUUUGUUAUCAUUUGUAUUAACGAGAAAUUUGAAUCGUUCAACGUUAUGAAACAAAUCAAUUGUAUAUGGAAAAAUUAAAUACACUUCCUCAAAAUAGACAAUUUAGUAUAAAUCAUCGAUUUAAAAUAUAAUAGUCCUAAACAUGUAUUUCUGUUUCAUUCUUAUAACUUUCCUUUAUCUACCCAAAAAUUGUAUCAAUAUUCGAUAUCCAACCACAGUUCUACACAAUAUGUCUAGCCCGUAGUAUUUCCCUUCAUCCUUUUCAAUUAUAUUAUUGUAUAGCUACAGUGUACUUGGGAUAUUGUAUUGAACACACUUUUUCUUAGUUCCCCUGUGGUUUAAAAUCAAUUAUCUAUCCUUUUCCAUUCAAUUCUUAUAUAUUUUUCAUUCCGACCUAUAUUCUCACCUCAAGCUUCGCUCGACCAAUAUUGUUAACUUUCUUUAAUACUUAAUAUAGCUGUUCUCUUUCAAAAUGUUUUAUUAAUGAUUUUUUUUUUCUACUUUACUCGUCUUAAAAUUAAAAAAAAAAAAAUAAUAAUAAUAAUAAUAAAUAAAAAAUCGUGAGUAUUUUAUGUAGAUAACCUUUAAAGAAGAGUAAAAUCAAACACUUAUCUAUGAAAAUGUAGUGAUAUAUUUCAUAAAAAAAUUCAAUUUACGUAAAAAAUAAAUUUGAAAUUAUAACGUUUGUUAUAGUCUAAUGCGUUAUUGAAAUGUUCACUGUUUUACGAGCUAAUUCAAGUAUAGACGUUUUCGAGAAAAAUACAGUAUGUCGUGUGACCAUUUUUUUUUGUCCUUAACUAUUCGACAAUGUAUCCUAAAAGUUCUGAAACUUUCGCAUGAACGGACAAACGAUACGUGCUCGGCGUAUUUUCCGACGAAAUAAAAUAGAAAUCUCUGCUUAUAUAUAUAUAUAUAUAUAUAUAUAUAUAUAUAUAUAUAUAUAUAUAUGUAGCUCUAUAUGUAUAUACAUAUACUAAUAAUCGAUUGUUUAGAAAUAAUAAUUCAAACAUCCGUUUUAUUGAAACCGUUAGACCAGAAUAAUCUCUGGUAUCGUUAGGCGUUUAACUAAUUUUGUAAAGCAUUCAUAUUCAUAUGAGCUUGUUUCGUCUAUAUUAUUGGAAUUCGUAUUAAAAAAAAAUAAAAAUAUAAAAAAAAUUAAGGACAGUCAUAAUUUGCACAUGGGUGCAGGGAAUGUUUUAGAUGGGAAGCUGGGAAGGUAGGAUAUAGACGGGAAUUUAAUAUAUAUUUAUAAGCAACGAGACACCAUUACUAACGAAAAGCGAUUUUGAGCGGAGUUCAGUUGAUAGUGGUUACUUUGUCAACAAUAUAAUAUAUGUCAUAUUAUGGUAAAAUGAUUACUACAAUAUACAUUUCCAUCACAACGAUUGUUUAAAAAUAUUAAAAUAAUAAAAACUUAAUUAUAACAAAUAAAUAAAUACAAACGGUUGCUAAUGAGAACCUUAUUUUUAAUCUAUCAAUCUUUUUUAACCUAAAAAACCUAGUUUUCUUCAUUAUCUCGAAUGUAAAUGAGAAUUUCAAAAAAUGACUUCUUUAAAAUACCACCCAAAGAAUAAUUCUUUUCAGACAAAGUGCUAUACUUGAUCGGUAAAAAUAAAAAAUAAAAAUAAAAUGUAUAAACGAACAUUGUACCAAUCAUGUGGUUACACUUUGGCAACUAAAUCCAAGUGAAUUACACUAUAUUAUAUGUACAGUAAUCGUUUAUAUUAAUUAACUAUUUUAAUACAGGUUUAUUGGUUUUUAUUAAAUUUUAAUUACUGGUCACUUUAUUUGUUAUGUUUUUUUAAUUUGACGUUAUCUGAUGUUGAUUACUAUGUGUGAUUUUUUUUUAUCAGAAAAAAAUUUGAUUUGUAAAAAUGUUUGGCUUUGUUCAUGUCAUACCUUAAAUAUAUGGAUUGUUCACCUGAUACUAAUUAUUUAAACAAUAUUUUAAAAUUCACAAUAAUUUUUCUGAAAAUUGAUUUUUAUAGUUUUUUUUUUUUUUUUUUUUUUUGCAUGCAAUGAUUUGUUCACUGAAGAUAGAAAUUAAACCAGUGGUAUUUUAUAUGAAACAUUUUUUGAAAUUUUCAGCAAUAUUCUCCCUAGGUUCUUGGCCAGAAACACAAUUAUAAUAAUACUUGUACUACGUACCUACUUUAAUAAGAAUUUUUUUUUUUUUUUUGCAUGCAAUGAUUUGUUCACUGAAGAUAGAAAUUAAACCAAAUCGUCCUAUAUAUAUAUAUAGAUAUAUACAUAUAUAUAUAUAUAUACAUAUCGUAUCUUCCCGAUUGAAAAAAUUAAAAACAAUAUAUUGAUGUUAUAAUGCAUUUGUGUAAUUUAUUGUCAAUGCCAUAACUUAUAUUGCCUAACAAAUAUUUUUCCAAUUCGUAUUAUGUCUCAUCAAGUUGGUAUCAGGAUGUUUAAUCGAAUAAUCGAAUAAGUCAGAGAUUAUUUAUUAUGGACUCAGAAUAUAUUAUAAUAUAUUUACUAAACUUUUUGAAAAAAAAAAAAAAAAAACUUGUACUAAUUUAAACAUUAAUUUGUUUUAUUUAAUCUUACUCAAAAAAAAUUCAAUUAUAAAAUGGCAAACAUCACAAAUUAUACUAUGUAGGUAAUUAAAUUAUUAUUUUAAUUUAGAAAAUAAGGCGUCUUACUUGUAAAAAAUGUCUAUUUAAAUAUGAAUAAUGGAAGAUGUAGAGUAUAUUCGUGAAACUUGCCGUGUUUUAUCCUCAGAUAAUACUUAUAUAAAGAUAAUUUAUGUCCAGGACAUUUAAAGAAUUAAUUUGUUCGUGUGUUGAAAAUUAAAAACUAAAUAAAAUGUAUUAUUAAUUAUAAUAUAAUCUAAUGCAAUAAAUAAUAAAAGGAUAUCGAUGUGUACUCAAAUGAUUAAUACAGUUUAACCAAUUUAUUUACAAUUAAAAUAAUCUAUUUCUUUCACUUAUAAUUAUUUUACUAUUAUAAUACUCUCACGUAGUUUGAAAUUUUGAGUUUAAUGAAGAAUGUGUUGGUUUUACUAUGAUGUUUAUUUUAAUCCUUUUUUUAAGUGAACAAGAAAGUUUACUAGAAAGCUUUCUCCGAUUAUCAAGUAUAGCACUUUGUUUAAAACGAAAUAUUCUUUGGGAAGUACUUUAGAAAAGUAAUUUUUUGAAAUUUUUAUUAAUAUUCGAGAUAUUGAGGAAAACCUGAUUCUUUAGAUUAAAAAAGAUUGAUAGAUUAAAAAUAAGGUCUCAUUAGAAAUUGUUUUUUUUUUUUUUUUUUUUAUUAUAAUUAAGUUUUUAUUAUUUUAAUCUUUUUUAAACAAUCGUUGUUAUGGAAAUGUAUAUUGUAGUAAUCAUUUUACCAUAAUAUAACAUAUAUAUUAUUGUUAAAGCAACACUAUCAAUUGAAUCCCGCUCAGAGUCGUUUUUUCGUUAGCAAUAGUUUAUUGUUGCUUACAGAUAUACAGUAAAUUCCCGUCUGAACCCUAUCUUCUCAACUUCCCACACACAACAAUGGCUUCACCCACAUGUGAGUUAUGUUCAUUUUAAUGGGUUCCCUUGACAACAAGGAAAAACACGAUAAAUAUAACUUAGCUCAAAAUUGUUUUUUUUGUUUGCAAUGAUUUAUCAAAACUUACAGAAUGUUAAGUUAACUACUCUGUAUAUCCUAUAUUUUUAAAUAUCGACCCAUAAUCGCGCCAACCAGUAAUCAGUAUCAACAUUAUUUAUUUUUUUCGCCUAUUUAAAUUCACGAUUUUACCGUAUUAUAGUGAUCUCUAUAGUGAAUUACCUACAUAUAUACUAAAGCAAUGUUGUAUUCUAUCUAGAUGAAUCAUUUAGAUAAUUUCCCGAUAAAAAUCUAGAUUUACCAAGAUAAAUUAUUUUAAAUCGUUUAAAUUAGAAAUAAAGAUCAAAAUAUCAAAUACAUUAUUAUGGUUAAGUAAAUUAAUCAUUAAGUUUCACACAACAUUUAUUUGAAUUCCAAAUUUAUUUAUAUAAAAACUAAAUCUGGUAGACUUUUAUUAUUUUCAACACUUUAGUAAGUAUUUAGUGAAAAAAUUUAUAUUUUUUUAUCUAGAUAAAUAAUCCUAAUCAGUUAUCAUUGUCUAAAUAGUUAAAUUGUUUUAUAAAUUGUAUCUUAAUCAAGGUAAUUAUUCUAGGAAUUAUCUCUUAUCUUUAUUUAGACUUUUAAAAAUGCAUAUUUAUACAACAACCUAAUAAUAUUAUUACGUUUACGUUUAAAACGUUAAUCUUGUAAUAAUUAUUAUAAUAUAUAUAUAUAUAUACGGACAGAAAAAUAACGCAUUGUAGUUCGUUAUAAAUAUAGAACUACGUUAGUGAAAUUGACACUUUAAUUUGCCACCAUUGGUGUGAUAGCUAUCAUUUAUUAUUGGACUUUUCGCUCAGAACUAAAUUUAUUGUUUAUUGCUUUAAAUGUAUAACUAUCACAGAUAAUAGUACUUAAUACGAUUAAGAAGCUAUUCAUAGGAACAAUAUAGCAAAUAGUAAUUUUGAUUCGAUGUACUGAAACUAAUCAAGACAUUUUCAAUUCCAAGUUUAAUAAUGGUAUGUUCAUAUUGUUUUGCUGUAAUUAUACCUGUAAUAGAAAAAACGAUUUUUAAUUAUUUUUUCAUUUUAGCAUGCUUUAACAGUAUGUUAAAUUACUAAAUUUACUUUUUUCAUCAAGUUCUUUAGUUGUUCGUAAACAGUUAGUGUUUGUGACCAUGUUUUAAUAAUAUUCGAUAACAAACUAUGAAAUAUAUAUAUUUUUUUAAUGAGUAUUUUGAUUAAAUUCGAUUAUCGCUUUUUCGAAAAUUGUUUUACUUAAAUAAUAUUAUUAUAACUUCGCAAUUAGUAGGUAUCACUUCGAGUUUUGGAGUACUUGCAUAUUUUUGUCACUGAAAUGCGACAUGGUAGAUAAUUCGGAUAACCUAAUUUACCCUAGUACAAAUUAUGAUAAAACUUCAAUUAAUGGAGAUAACCGAAACAACAAAUACAAAUUUUAGUAAAAAAUCGUAAUAUAAACUGGAAAUUUACUAGUAGAAUUAACUGGUGAAUAACUCGAAGUAUAAUUCUUCUCCAGCCUCCUCGUGUUCAUUCCACAAGAGCUACUCUUGUUUUCACCCUAUCCGUAUCCUUUUAUACAAUAUCCAGUCACCUUAUUAGUCUAUUUUAAACGCUUUCACAAUUAUCUCUUUAGAUAUCUAAUAACCUCUAGAUAAUUUUUCUUCAUUCCACACUCAACUUAUAAAUACCUUUAUUUUUUUGCUAAACGUUUGUUCUUCUCUUGACAUUCCAGUAUACCGUUUUAAUAGGCUUUCAGUGUUUCUGUGUAGAACUCGCUAUAGUCACUACUCAUAUGGAGACUUCCUCUCAGAGUAAUUUUUUUAUUCGUCCCGAUGAUCGGAACGAUACAACGGACGGGGUUUAGAUCCCCGUGUCGACCACACCACCGCCUGCCCGUAUGAUGGAUGAGCCAAAUCGUGUCCGUCCACUUAGCAUAGAAAUGUCGACGUCACCAUCACACUAUUUCCGACCCGACUCAUUUAUAACGGCUGUACACUGUUACUACACUCGAGUGCGUGAAUGCAUGUAUUAUUACAACAUCCCGUUGCAGCAUCCGUACAGACAGUAUUGGUACGAUUGUAUAGUGUGGCGUGUGUGUAUAGUGGAGAAAAGUUUUGGAAAUAUGUCAUCGAGACAUGUAAUUUCCCGAACGAAAAUCUCAUGGGGGUCGAUAUUGUAAUAUACAGGUUCCGUAUUAUAGUUUAGCAAACCUAUAAUUUUAACGAAAAAUUUAAGCUUCCCUAUACAAAGUGCAUAACCAUUGUUUUGCAUUAAAGAUAUACAUUUUUAAAUAAUAUCAAUAAAAAUUAGAGAUAAUAUUUUAUAGAAUAUUUUUUUUUUUUUAGGGAUUCUAAACUUAUGAGGUCAAAGACUUUCUUUCGUACUAUUCUUUCAUACUCUCUACAAUAAGAUUAAAGUAUUUUUAAUAUAUGUUAUAUUGUAUAUAUGUAUAUAUGUAUAUAUGUAAUAAAUGGCAUUUUAAUCCACCUUGGGUCCCACAUUUCGGUGAAUCGUGAGUGGCUGCGGUUCGUUCCACCAAGACAUUAAUGGUGCGUAUCACGGGAGAAAAGGUCCUAACCCUCGAAGAGUUCAAAACGCUUCUGCGUCGUAUCGAGGUUAUUUUUAACUGUCGUUCCCUUACCCCAGCGUCGACCGAUCUUGCAGAUUUGAGUUGUUUGACAUCAGGACAUUUUCUGAUCGGUCAUCCUCCAAUCGCAGUCGACAUUAUAUAUAUAUAUAUAUAUGUAUAUAAAUCUUCAAUUUAGUUUUGUUUGAAUAUUAAAUGAGUUUUCUUAUUUACAUAAAAAGAAAAAAGAAAAUGUAAGGUUAACAAUUAAAUAUAACUUUACGAAAUUACACAAUAAUGGUCGAUAAAUUUUAUCGGAUAAAAUAUAAAUAACCGAAAAAAAAACUGAUACUGAGGAUGGAAACGGCCACUGUUUUAGGAGAAAAUUUGGGUAGGUAGGAUACAUAGGGUUAUUUUAUUUAUAUUUGUAAGUAACGAUAAACAAUUGCUUGACGACUAACGAUUCCGAGCGCAGUUCUGUAACACAUAAUUUGAAGUUCUGUGAUUUUUUUUGCAAUUUUCUUUCAAAUUAAAUUUCAAAACGCUUAUUGAAAAAAAAAAAAAGUCGUCCGAUUAUUCUAGAAAUUUCACCACGUCUAGGAAAGACCAAUAUUAGUAUUAUUACAAAGUUAAACGAAUUAAAGCAAAAAAACUCCCAACAGUUUAAAUUCCUAAAAAGCUCAAAAGAGGCUCAAAAUUUUGGCGAUGAUAUCGUAAGAAAGUAAUUAAAAAAGGUAAAACAAAAAUGUAUCUUGUAAUUUGUCGAUUAAAUCAUUUUUUGUGAUGGUAAACGUUGUCUGUGUAUUUAUAAAAUUAUGAAAUCGUAAAAUUGUAUGUUUUCCUAUGUUUUUUCCCAUUUAUGUGCUUUUAUUUAAAAAAUGACGUGGAAAAUCAAUAAAUUAACUCUUUAAUGUACCAAGCUUAUAGUACUUGAGCUUUCAGAAAAGUUUCUACACGUAAAAGAGUAUCUUUACUAGGAAAAAACGUGUCUACAGACUAGAAGAAAAGAAAAGAAAGAAGAGAGAAAUAAACAGCAUUGUAAAACGAAUAGCUUCCUCCCUAUACCCUGAAUCUAAAAUAACGUUUUCUUUUUUUGUGAUUUUUUAAAAUUUCCAUGCCUCCUUAGGGGGAGCACCCCCUUCAGGUUGACUACCCUUGAUAUAGUUGAUGAUAAAAAUACAAACAAUUUAAUAUUUAGAUAAAUAAAAUAUGAAAAAUAAAUAAUUGAUACAUUUUUAGCUAGAAAUAAAAAAAAACUGAUUUUCGUUUAUUACUUAUCUAAUUUAUCAUAUAACUUAGUAAUAAAAGUAGUAAAAGUGUAACAGAUAUGGUAAAAGUCUAGGCUUUAUAAAAGUUGUGUGAUUUACGUGUCAUAAUAAUUAAUUCAUAGGACCAUAUGAAUAUGAAUUGAAUAUUUUACCUAAUAAGUCUAACAAAUUUAUAAAUUACGAUUUGAUACGAUUUAUGCGGAUGAAUUUAGAUUUAGAUGUGCCAUUUUCUAUCAAAAAUUACAGCUAAGAUAACUUAUUCCAAAUUUAACUGGAUAAGAAUAUAAGAUAAGAGAUUAAUUUAAUAUACGAAAGUCGAAUGUCAACUACACCGACAUCUUUGUAAUUGUAUAAUUAUUAAUUUUUACCUAUUCGGAAUAUAGUUACACAAUAAUUGUUUAGUUUUCUACCAUAUUUGUGAGUUAAAAUUUAAGAUUUAAUUGUACUCUUAGUAUUUCAUCGCAUUAUUAUAAUGACAAAAUUGUUUUUAUGACGUGCUUGAUGGCUUUGCAUGAAAUUACACGAAAUUAUUGAAAAUAGUACCUAAUCAUUGAAAAGUGAAUAUCUUAUUUUGCUCUCGCGAGAUGAAGUAUUGUGCUGGAAAAAGGCGAUUAAUUUUACAGCAACAAAUGGAAAACCCUGUUUAAGAUGCAAUGGCUGUUUGGUACGAACGUACUGAUUUCCGAAUGAUCAUUGUCAUCGUUAAGAAUCGCAUGAACACUACGUCGUUUAUUCAGUUGAGCAACUUUUUAGAUUUAUCACGCGGUCGAGUCAUUUGCCAUUUCUAAUGAUUAUCAUAUUUUGACGCAUUGCACUAAUGAGCGUACAGAGAUUGGCGAGGGGAGAAAUCCGGAUCAGAGGACAAAAAUUCGAUAAAUAAAUACCGAAAAUUAAAUUCAGACCUUUUUCUUUAAAAUCUAUAAAACGGAUAUUAAUAUUUUGAUUUUAAAUUAUUUUAUACGGGUGAUUUAUAAUAAAAUCAUAAUAUUAAAGGACAUUAUUUUCAAAAUAAAUCAAAUAUAUUAAAUAUACACAAAUAAAUAUCGCAAUUUGUUCUAUUACGUAGGAAUUCUUUUCGUUUUUAAAAGUUUUUCUUAAGCCUUUUUUUAUCUUUUAGGGACCCGGAAAACCAGGAUUUUAGUCCUCUUAGCCCCUCCCAAAGUAUUCAACUCUGACCACUGAUAAACAUUAAUUGUAAUUAUGAUUAAAAGAAUACAAUAUAUUUUUUCCCAUUUUUUUUUUUUUCGUAAUCAAUACAUGACAGAAACAAUAUUUUUAGAUACACCGUAAACACGGACCAUUAAAAAACUGAAAAAAAAAACAUUGUCAAUAUCGCGUGAUACUGAUUUAAGUGAUAUUUUUUUUUUUCGACGAAAUGGUUUUUAUUUUUCCACUUUACAAUCUAUUUUCGACUUUCGUGUUGUGGUAUAUCUAGUGAAGUUUUCUGUUAGCCAGUAAGUUAAUAACUGCAGAAAGUUCUAAACAUCUCAAAAACAAAUUUAUGCACCCCUCAAACUGCUUUCGACGUAGAUAACAUAAAACUCGGUAACUGAAAUUUGUCGAUAACUAACUUAAAUGACAAACAUAAUAAUAUAUACUUGUUGAUAAUCUCGAGCAUAAAUAUUAUUAACAUCAUAUAUACAGAGAACAAUCUUAUAGCACAAAGAAUGCAAUACGUAAGAUAAUAUGGUAAUUUUCGUUAAUAAUAAGUAGCCGAAUUUAUAUUAAAUAUUUUAAAAUAAUUUAUUUUGUUUUACGAACUAUUAACGGUGCGAUUAUUCAAAACAAUAUUAUGUUGAUUUCAACAUUUUACUAAGAGGAAAAAGAUCAUUUAGUAUUUACUUCGCGAUUCCUGUUUUCAAAAAAAAAAAAAAAAAAUUUUUUCUACUAAACGUAAGCAAAAAUGGAACUGUUCGGCAGUUAGAUUAAAAUGAACAUAUUUCGUAUUCCACGGCGAAUAUUAUCUAUGACAAAUAGUGAUAAUACGUACUGAUAUACACGUGUCACUAUACAAUAACACGAGUUUUACAAUUCUACCGGUGAAUUAUCUGACAAUGUCUGGAUGUUUUAUAAUUGUACGCUAAACUCGAAUCCGAUGUUCGCGAAAACACCGUGCUAUACGCAGUGUACGGCUGUUUUACCCGAGCUACCGUCAUAAAGUUCAUUUAACGAACGACUCUGCCGUUUUGUUAUCCGAUCAUAAGAACAAAUCGGGCCCGAGCCGACGGUGACGGUUAUUUAUGUGGAGCGUAUAAAAUAAAAUAAAAUGUUUACCGCAUCCUAUGCGAGUCAUUAAGUAUAAUCAAACCGUAUAAAUGCAUAGAAUAUCUAAUUCGAUGAAAAAUUCAACGAAAUCUCGACCAAUUAUUUUUAGAACACGCUAACGAAAUAAUGUCAUUUAUAGAAUACAUAUAGGUACCUACUGCUUAAUGUGGUGUUUGUUUAAUUUACGUGCAGUGUGCACUGUCUUAUUUGGCAUAAGCGAAUAAAUUGUAUUUACUCAUCAAACGGAAAAAAAAAAACCGUAUUAUGAUUGUACGCUCUAGAUGUUAAUUCAAUCGUAAGUAGAUUGACCCAUAUCUUUUAAAAGUUUGAAAAAUAUCAUCGAAGGUUUUCAUAAUGAAUAUUUAUUUUUAAUGGAUAUUUUAAUCUAAAUAUUAAGAAAUUAAACAUUAACAAACAUUGUUUUCGUUUUUUUUUUUUUCAAUUGCAGGUGAAAACUCGAGAGGUUUUCAAAUUUAUUUACCAAUAAUAUUGUAUUUCAGUUCGAGAAAUUGUCCGACAUGAAUUAAUAAAAUUGUACUCGAUAAACCGUUAUUCUGAAGUACUGAAUUAUUCUAGGCUGGAAACAAAAAAAUAAUAAGCUGAUUAUUCGACAUUUAAAUCAUAUCAGAGUUAGUUGUCCAUGUUAUAUCGUUUUUAAAAUUAUGCGGGGAAUAUAAAGAACGUUAGAAUUUUCGGGCGUGAAAAUGAUAAGAAAAAUCCCGAAAAAUUAUUUCGCCCUUCAAAAACAUCGCCUUACAUAUUUUUUAUGCCCGAGUUCAUGUACUAAUAUAAUAUAAUGUUUUAUAAUUUCGCGUUGGGAAGUGUAGUCUUAAAAAACUCAUUUUUCAUUCGGUACGAAAUUUAUAUCUCCGUAGAACAUUGAAAAAAAAAAUUAUUUAAAACCUAGUCGAAUAAAAAAUAUAUCCAUAUUUUAAAUUUCGACACAAUAGUUGCGUAGAUCGCGAUAGCGCUAUAUAUUUCUUUUUAUUUUCAAAGGAAGUAAAAUGAUAAGAAAAUUCAUUAUUUUUUUUAUUUUUUUAAUAGAAUUUCAUUUUAAAGGGGAUAUUUUUUAAAGGGUGAAUUUACAAUAUCAAUUGUCUCGUUCAGUGAUUACAAUGUACGGAAUAUGUAGAAAGCCUUCGUCCAUACAUAAUUGUAUUGUAGAUUAUGGAACCGCGUAACCGUUUUUUUAUGUAGUUAUUCGAAUACAUAGGUUAUGUAUAAAUUUAUUUAUUUUUUUGUUAUAAACUAUUUUUUUGGAAUUCGUAAUAUAUGUAAAUGACAUAUUGUAAGUUAUUUAUCCUUUUGCAUUUCAAACAAAAUGUUUACAUUAUGAAAAAUAUUUCAUUUUUUUUUUUUUAUUAUUAGUGGAGAUGCGUUUUAUUUGUAUUACACUUACAGCGUACAGGUGUACACGCGUCCUGCUACAAAAGCCUUUACAAAUAAACGCCCAUAUAAACGCGUAUCGCAUAUCGCUAAUCGGAUAAUAAUAUACACAUUAAUAAAUUACACCUACCCUAUGUAACCGGUAUAACAAUCAAGAUUAAACUGAUAUUAUAAAAAGAAACUUUAGUUUGUACUCAGUAACACACAAGUGACUCGGUAUUCAAGUACAAAAUUUUUAAACCAUCUUUUUUUCUAAAUCUAAAACUGUGUCGGUAAAUAUUUUAGACGCGCCGCAAGCAGACACGUCUGUACGCUACCGAUUACGUAGUUUUGUUAGUGAAUUCGAAAAACAUUUAAUAUUUUCUGGUAACGGCGAAUUAUUUGUUUUGUUUUGUUUUUUUAAAGUAAUUCGUUAGGUCAUCGAAAUCCAAUAUUUAGUUAUAAGUGUACACACAUAUAUUUAAGUAAUAGUAUAAUUUCAUCAAGUGCCCAUACUUAUGACUAUUCAAACGUCGGUGAUGUUAAUAAAUAAGAGUUUUCCACUCGCUUAUUGUUGCGUUUUAUAUAUGCCAACAAUAAUAAUUUAAAAUAAUUAUAAUAAUAUUAUAUAUGUCACGCUCAUGUUCGUGACUUUUAAUACAGUUAAAAAAAAUAACUGGCUAUGCGAAUGCACUAUAAUGUUACCCUUAUAAAUAAUUCUCCUCAAACUUUGUAAUAUAAUAUAAUAUAGUUAUAACGGAGCCGACCGUGUUUAGGAAACAUAGACAAUUUGAAAUUUUCGGUUUCUUUUUUUCAGUUUCUACUAAAAUAAACAAUUCAGUACUACAUUAAAAAUACAACAAAAGAAAGGUUGCUGUUUUUCUAUUUGAGCAAUAUUUAUGGUAGAAAACAAUAGCCGUGACAAUUUUAAAUGAUGGAAUCAUCGUGCCGUAGUUUGAAAGAGCCGUAUUUUUCUAGAGGAUUCUAAGUGAAUUUGAUUUCUGUUUUUUCUAAUCAUUAUGGAAUCGUUUAAGCUUUAUUUUAAAACCAUUUUUAAUUUUUACUUCUACUCUAUACACCUUAAAUAAAAAAUACUUUUGAUUUUCAAAUAGAAACUCCUCUUUUGAACACAGAUUUGAAUAUAUAAUAUUUUUCCAGAAAUUUUGAUAUGCAUAACACUGAUAUAAAAUUUACCAUUUAUGAAAUAUAAUAGUUUAAACUUUAGACCAGAGGAGUAGGGAAGAGUAAUACAUUUUAAAAUAAAGCCUAAACGAUUUAAUAAUGUUUGAAAAAACAAAUUAACUUAAAAAAACUCCGAGAUAGCUGGUUCAUGAUAAAAAAAAUCACCCUGUUUACAUUUUAUAUUUAUCCGGAAUACUCGCACAAUAAAUAUAACUUUCUUAUGUAUUAUUGAUGAUGCGGAUAAUAUUAUAAGUUUUAAGGUUCAAUAAUAUUACAUCCGGAGAAAAAAUCGAAACAAACAUCAUAACGAUCCAAUUAGUUCCACACGACAGAUACGGUUUUUAGACAAAUAAGUUAACAGUAAUAGUAUCGAUUAUAUUUUCAAUGGCGUGGGGGGGGGGGGGGGGGUAGGAGGAAACGAAAGAAGAUUGACAAUAGUAAAUGGACGUUAACGUUAUACUUUCCAGCACGAAGAUACAUUAAUAUUCUCUUCGGCGUUCAGACUAUAUAAUAUAGUAUGAUGAUAUUAUUCUUAAAAUGAUUUAUGUGUUGAAUGUAUUAAAUAUUUACGAACUCUUUAAUAAAAUGACGUUUGUUUAUUUGAAAAUAAUAAUAAAUGAACUAAGAAGUUAAUAAACGUUUUAAAUUUAAAUUAUCAUCACCAUUGGAUAACGUCAAUUUCUGUGCUAUUAAUUUUAAUAUUGGAAUAAAUUGCCGUAUUUUCAAACUUAAACGUGCAAAUAUUAUCAGCGUUUGUACGUUAAUAUAAUAUUAAUAUAACGAGACUAGACGUGAUUUCAAUUUAUAAGAGGGUGGCAUGUUGAAAAAUAUAUUUAACGAUUCCGUUAGCUAUAUAUGGUUUCGGAGAAAAAUGGCUCGAGUAAAUUUUCUAUAGUUUUUAAUAAAAAGAAAGAUUAAUUCAUUUUGAAAAUUGCUAAAUGACAAAAUAACAUAAUAAUUGCUAAACAACCUAACCUUAAUAUGACGUUCUAAUUGGUCUAAAUCAUUACAUGACAUGCCUUUUUUCUAAAAGUAUAUUAUAGUGACUUGAGCUAUUUUAAUUUUCAGUAAAACAUGACGUGUUUGAAUGGAUAAAAUAAUCUCGUACCGUGUAUACGUUAUAUAGAAAUAUUCAGAGAAACGCAAUCAUUUCCGGAAUAUGAAAUUAGAAACACAAAACACUAUCUACAGCAAAUGGUCUUGGAAUCUCGUCGUGAAUACGUUUACAACUCUAAGAAAAG